GCUCAACCGGGGAGGGUCAUUGGAAACUGGGAAACUUGAGUGCAGAAGAGGAGAGUGGAAUUCCACGUGUAGCGGUGAAAUGCGUAGAGAUGUGGAGGAACACCAGUGGCGAAGGCGACUCUCUGGUCUGUAACUGACGCUGAGGAGCGAAAGCGUGGGGAGCGAACAGGAUUAGAUACCCUGGUAGUCCACGCCGUAAACGAUGAGUGCUAAGUGUUAGGGGGUUUCCGCCCCUUAGUGCUGCAGCUAACGCAUUAAGCACUCCGCCUGGGGAGUACGGUCGCAAGACUGAAACUCAAAGGAAUUGACGGGGGCCCGCACAAGCGGUGGAGCAUGUGGUUUAAUUCGAAGCAACGCGAAGAACCUUACCAGGUCUUGACAUCCUCUGACAACCCUAGAGAUAGGGCUUUCCCUUCGGGGACAGAGUGACAGGUGGUGCAUGGUUGUCAUCAGCUCGUGUCGUGAGAUGUUGGGUUAAGUCCCGCAACGAGCGCAACCCUUGAUCUCAGUUGCCAGCAUUCAGUUGGGCACUCUAAGGUGACUGCCGGUGACAAACCGGAGGAAGGUGGGGAUGACGUCAAAUCAUCAUGCCCCUUAUGACCUGGGCUACACACGUGCUACAAUGGACAGAACAAAG
rnacentral:rRNA from 1 species